GGGAAUUUCACUUGCAAUUUAUAUUUAUGAUUCUUUUUUCUAACCAAGAAGAUAUUUCUUUUACCAAAAAAAGACACAUGCUUAGGUUUUUUCUACUCAAACAUCCUUUGCCUUUGUUUAAUGAAAACAUCAGACAAGCAAUGUUGGAAGACAUAUAAGAGAGUAUUUGAUAGAUUGUUAGGAUCCUAUAUAAGUUAAAAUAAAUGAAAGGAUGUUUUCUCCUCUGC
rnacentral:lncRNA from 1 species